rnacentral:rRNA from 1 species
GACGAACGCUGGCGGCGUGCUUAACACAUGCAAGUCGAACGAUGAACCCGGAGCUUGCUCUGGGGGAUUAGUGGCGAACGGGUGAGUAACACGUGAGUAACCUGCCCUGGACUCUGGGAUAAGCGUUGGAAACGACGUCUAAUACCGGAUAGGACCUUGGAUCGCAUGAUCUGGGGUGGAAAGUUUUUUCGGUCUGGGAUGGACUCGCGGCCUAUCAGCUUGUUGGUGAGGUAAUGGCUCACCAAGGCGUCGACGGGUAGCCGGCCUGAGAGGGUGACCGGCCACACUGGGACUGAGACACGGCCCAGACUCCUACGGGAGGCAGCAGUGGGGAAUAUUGCACAAUGGGCGAAAGCCUGAUGCAGCAACGCCGCGUGCGGGAGGACGGCCUUCGGGUUGUAAACCGCUUUUAGUAGGGAAGAAGGGCUUCGGCUCGACGGUACCUGCAGAAAAAGGACCGGCUAACUACGUG